GACGAACGCUAGCGGCGCGCUUAACACAUGCAAGUCGAGCGGAAAGGCCCUUCGGGGUACUCGAGCGGCGAACGGGUGAGUAACACGUGAGCAACCUACCCUUGGCUUUGGGAUAACCCCGGGAAACCGGGGCUAAUACCGAAUAUCCACGCAUUGCCGCAUGGUGGUGUGUGAAAAGUUUUUCGGCUGGGGAUGGGCUCGCGGCCUAUCAGCUUGUUGGGGGGGUAACGGCCUACCAAGGCUUGGACGGGUAGCCGGCCUGAGAGGGCGACCGGCCACACGGGGACUGGGAUACGGCCCAGACUCCUACGGGAGGCAGCAGUGGGGAAUAUUGCACAAUGGGCGCAAGCCUGAUGCAGCGACGCCGCGUGAGGGAUGAAGGCCUUCGGGUUGUAAACCUCUUUCGACAGGGACGAAGCGAGAGUGACGGUACCUGGAGAAGAAGCGCCGGCCAACUACGUGCCAGCAGCCGCCGUAAAAC
rnacentral:rRNA from 1 species